CGGAGUUCGAUUGGGUCACUAUUUUCUAACAGUACGACUCGCUGUGUCAAAUUCUCUCUCUCUCAGUCGCGCUCGCUUACUCUCGCGGCAGAGCGACCUUCUUCUUCUGCUUCUUUUUCUCUACAGCCGCUAAACACUAGUAAGCCAUGCAAUGGUUCGCGCGGUUGCUACCAGUCACGCCACCAUCAAGGUUCCCCUAGCCUAGCGCCCAUGCAAAUGUCAGUAUUUGGAUCAAUCGAUCGAAAUCGUUUCUGUGACCUUCGGUUCCGCUGCGUGUGUGUGUGUGUGACAGAUUAGCAGUGCACCGAAUAGUGGGGAAAAGUAACCCGCUAAGUAGCUACGUUAAGCCCUUCAUUCGAAGAGCCGCAAACAUUCUUGCCCUAUCGAAAGCGCGCGUGUGUAUGACUACAGUGGAGAUGAGAUCAUAAAAUCUGGUGUUCAGAUCUCGCGACCUCGCGAGAGUUGAUGCGUGCACCCGUCUGCCCUCGGCUGGUCAGUUCUCAGCAUUGUUAGACGAACAUCGCUGCCACGUGCAUGGCUGCCACACACACACACGGUCGCUGCGUACAUCUUCAAAUGCGUUUGUGUGUUCUCUUCCUCCGCCAAGCCACCCACCUGCACCGAGGAGGGAGGAUGAUUGCGAUUCGAAAGAUUUCACCUCCACUGUGCAACACGGGAUCGAAAUGUGAAGGACUUGGUGGACUCCCUCUACCUUUACGCCACUUGCUGCUACUGUGCUUGUUUGCUUGUGGAUGAGCAAUUCGUUUCACAUUCGUUACUCAUUAGCGGAUUAUUCAGAACUCCCAAGAAGUGAAGCAUGUGGAAAAGAAAACAGAAAACCUGACCAUGUU